CUCAGGUAUUUCUUCAUAGCAGCAUGAGAAUGGACUAACACAGGUGUUGAUCUGUAAGGUAAUAUUAUUGGAGUCAUGACAUCCAAAGUAUCUUUAAACUCUUAAACAAUAUUUGUUCAUUUCACAUUUUUAUAUCUUCCUGGCACUAUGCAGGGCAAACAAUUGUAGCAUACAAAGUGAAUUAUAGAAAACCUUACAUAUGGGUCUUGAGGAAUUCUUGCACUUUUUCUCCCACUUUAUGACACACUUCCAUGUGCCAUUAUAUCUAAAAAAAAUAAAAUAAAAUCAACUCCAAAAGCAGAGAGCAAAGUCAUAACCCAUCUCAGCAAAGGUUUAUUAAAUUUCAUUCAUCCCAGAAGCUGCUCUGCCAACAUUUUUCAUCUUUUUCCUUUCUUCCUUUCCAAUUUUAUGAUUUUUUUCUUUUCCACCUAAGGAAACCUUCUAGCGUCUCUUUGCCUACACUAAGCUUUUUUAUAUCUACAGCUCUUCCCAUUACCAUUAAAAGGCAAGAGGAAGAGAAGAGGAUCUUUGUAUACUUGUCUCUAUCGUACAGUAUAUGAAUGUAUGCCAGGUGUGGUGGCACAUGCCUGUAUUCCCAACUACUCAGGAGGCUAAGGGAGGAAGGUUGGCUUGAGCCCAAGAGUUCUGGGCUGUAGUGUGCUAUGUCCACUGGGUGUCUGCACUAAGUUCAGCAUCAAUAUGGUGACCUUCUGGGAGUGGGGAACCACCAGGUAGCCUAAGGAGGGUUGAACCUGCCCAGGUUAAAAUAGAACAGAUAAGAAUUCUGUGCUGAUAAGUAGUGAGAUCCAACCUGUAAAUAGCCACCACACUCCAGCCUGGGCAACAUAGUGAGACCUUGUCUCUAGAAAAAUAAAAUAAAAUAAACCUUUUUAAAAAAUGAAUCUAAAUUCACAUGUAACGAUACCUUUCUUGGAGAUUGUUUUACUUGAGAGCUGGCAACAUAAGUUCUUGACUUUUCAACACAGAGUUCCUCUAGUUUCUUUUACAGUAUUUUAGAUCACUGCUUUUCAAAUGUUAAUGUACACUGGAAUCUCCUACAGAUUCUGAUAAAAUGCAGAUUUUGAUUCAGUAAUUCUGGAGUAGGCCUAAGAUUCUGUGUUCCUCAAAGACUCUCGGAUGAUGGCCAAUGCCACGGGUUCUUAGACCUCACUUUGAAUGGCAAGAUUUAUAUUAUUCAUUUUUUUCUAACUGCCCGCAAAACACUUCAGUGCAGUUGUUAAAAUUAUUUUUGUUGUUGCAACUCUCAUGUUACAUACAGGAAGCUUCAGGAACCCUGCUUGGCUGAUGAUCUCAGCUCCUCUUAGCUUUGGAGAUGGGGUUGGAGUUAUCCAGCCAGUGCAUGCUCUGUUGGAGACAGUGCCACAUGAGGCCCUUUCUAAGACAGACAGGGGCACGGUGACAGGGAGACACUAGUGGGAACAUUUCUAUAUGGGUCUUUAAUGAAUCAAGAAUCUGGUUACUGUUUAAAAGAGUGUCUUGAAUGGAUUUGUCAGAAGAGCCAAGGAGCCUCUGUUUGGAACCGUUCUCAAAUGGCAUGAUUGUAGUAUAAGGCAGGGAGCGUAUGAAUGGCUUCUUUUCAGGAGAAGAAAAAGAGCAAGGGGAUUGAAGUAAUGGGGAGCCUCUGGGCUCAUCUUUCAGCUGAGUCUGCCCAGCUCUCAUUAGCGUACCCUCCUUAUAGGUAUGAACUGAAAAGGGAAGUUGGAGGGUUGUGUCUAUGGAAGGGACUAGGGGACCUGGGGAACUGAGGACCAGGAAUUACAGUCUCAUAUUCAGUAAAGGACUCAAAAGUCAGUGAUCCAAGUAAUGACCAGAGAAUAUUAGAAAAGGAAAAACAGCCAGCUGCAUUCUUAGAUGUUAUUAGAAAUCAAGGCAUGUAUAGCUGAGGGGUGCUCAGAGACUCUCUGGUUCUGACCCUGUGUUUGCAGAUAAAGAAACUAACAUUCAGGAAGUUGGAUGACUUGCUCAAGGUCAUAAGAUUGGGUAGGGCUUUUAGCUGGCUUUUGAACUCGUGGUUCCGAGCUCUUUGCAGUUGAACAUAUUUGUUGUUUCUCGCAUCAAUUAACUCUAACACAUUUAAUUAGAUAUAAAAACUGUUCCCAUGGAUUAAAUUCUGUUUUUGAAAUUGUGCGGGCAGUGCCCUGGAAAAAAAAAAUCAGCAAUAAAGGCCAUAGCUAUGUCCCCAGAGCUCAGCUGUGGCACUUGUGGGCAGCUACAUAGUUUGAAGUUUGAACAAAAGUUUUCUGAAAAGGAAUUUGGAGGAAAGACACUUUCUUACAGUGAACAGUUUGCAAACUGGGGAGACACUGUCUUCCUGUAUAAGGAAGGUGUGCAUUUCAGAGAACAAAGAGAGGGUUUGGCUUUUGUAGGUUCUAAAUCAGGUCUGUUUAUGCAAAUAAAUGAUUCAAACUUGCUUAGUUCUGAUUGAUCAAUGCAGCUGAGUUUUGAUUGGUUGACACAGCUAGGCCCUGAUUGGCCAAGGUGGGGGAGCUCUGAUUGGUUGGUUCAGGCAAGCUCUGAAAGUCCACAGUUAAACAUAGGUGUAGGUUUCCCCAGAACUCAGAGUACAUCUGUGACCUCUAGCCAGCAAAGGGCCGCUUGGCUCUGUUAUAAACGUAGGCCCAGUUAGCAGCUCAGGAUCUAUCUUGAAGGAUUGGCUCUUUCAGGUGCACAUUUGUUCACAAAAGCAUGGUUGGCUUCUUCACACAAGGACAGGUUUCUUCACAGAGAAUCAGUUACACACUCCUGAGCAUAUUUAACUCCCACAGCCCAUUAAGUAGAUGAUAAUAUUCUUAUUUUACAAAUAAGGAAACUGAGACUCGGAAUAAAUAAAUUGUUGCAGUUCACGCAUUUGCACCGAGAUUCAGCCCCAGGCCUGCCUUCUCCCACUCCUGUGCCCCUUCCACCCACUGCCUGGCCCCCACCCUGCUGUUUCCUGCUGGGUGUGCCGGGAGCACUGACCUGGGGCUCUGGGGACAGGACUCGGUUUUAUAAAGUGCUGGGAGAAGUAGGAGAAUUCAGAGGGAAAUGGGAUCUGAUGCUUGGAUUAUGGGAGAAGCAAGAUAAAAGGAUGCUAAAGGCAGGAGAAGCAAUGGGAGAAUGUCUGCCUGGUGUCCCGUGGUCCCUGUGCAGCUGCUCCUCUCUAUUGUUUCUGUGAAGGGAUCAUGCAAGGUACUUUCCAGCCACUGUUUUAGACUUUUGUUUUUGAUGAGCUGGAACAGCAGCAGGUAGGUAGGUGGUGGGGGCCCUCUUUUUCACUUUUCUUUCUCUCUUUCCUUGUCGUGAGCUCAGGGGCCAUAAGCCACCCGUUCAACAGCCAAAGGAUGAAGCAGAUCUUGGCAAUGUUACCAUUUCUGUAACUACUGGAGGCUUGCUGCCCUUUGACAGACUGGAGUGGAGCGCUUCAGGGGAAAAGCAGUACCCACCAACACCGUGGCAUCUCUGCUCAACGCUGACCAUCACGUUGAAUUUCUGUUUAUGUCUGUAGUAAGAUAAUCAGCUGGAAAGCAGAUUGCUAUUGAGAGGGUUUUCUGGUUUUCUUAGUAGGUCAAAAACCAAAUUAGAUGACCCACAUCAUAGGCCCGGAUCAGUUUAGAAAAAUCCCUCCAGUCCUUCAGUGGCAUCCUUAGCAGGAGGUUCUGACUUGGAGGAAAUGGACAGCCUGCAUUUUCUGGAACUGAGAGGUUGCAGGAGGAAGGGAAAGAGAGGGAGAUCAAGGAUGACAAAAUCUGGGAUUUCAGUUUAUCCCUUCUCUGAGGACAGAAACAGCUCUCAAGCAGGAAGAGAGAGGCUUUAGAAAUACCCAGAUCAGUGAGCCUGGGAACCUUGAUUGUCCACUUUUCUGGGCAGAGGAAGGGGAAGUUUCUGGUCCCAGAGAAUUCCAGCUCAGCACCACACCCAAAACAGUGCAAGUGGAUGACAGUUAAACCCAAGGCGGGGCUGUAGGGUGCAGGGGCCUGCAUGUCGCACCCUGGAGUCCUGACAGUUUCCCCGAGCCACAUGAAGGGCACACAGCCAUACUGAGAUGCCUUGGCACACAGAGAUCUCAGACGGCUUCAAACAAGCCUUAGUGUGAAUCAGUCAUCAAAACCAGAAAACACUUUCCGGGUCCUCAGACUCCACCGUGGUCUGCAGUGCAUCACCCCAAAAGGCCAGAGGAGGCCAGUCACACCUCAGAGGGCAACAGUGCAGGAAGCGGCCCAACCCAGCCGCUUUGUUGCACAGACUGGCAUGUCAAUACAGGAUACAAACUGGGCCUCACUGUCUGCUCUGCCAUGAGUUUUCCUAAGCCACACCUCUCCUCUCUAACUAGGGUGAACAAACAUCACCUGCUCUACUGGCAUAAUUAUUAAUAGUGCCCUCUUUCUCUCUCAAACACAUCUCGGAUUGAUCUGACCUGAGUGGUUAAAAAAUAAAUAUUAUAGAAUAAGAUGCAUGCUGUAAUUCCAAGUAAUAAUGAGAAAAAGCUCACCUAUGUGUGCAAGGUUCCUCUAUGCAGGGAGCAUAUUUGGAAGGACACUGCUAACCACGGUUACCUGAGGAUGGUUUGGGGACACGGACAGCACUGCAUUAUUUUUACACGCAUUGCAUUCUAAACCAGGCACUUGUUUCUAAAAAUGAAAAAAAAGUGCCCGUCUUGGAAGAUGAUUUGUGAUGGUCACUCUAUCCAGAGCACAGGCCUCACCUUGCCAUGGAGCCGGAGAGGGCAAUCAAAUCCGAACAUCUGCACGUCUCUGCUAAGGGGCUGAGUGUUUGUUUUAAGCUGGAGUAGUUUCUAUCAUUGCAAACAGACUAAGUUUACCAGCUCAUGCUAAACACAGUUCAGUUUGUUUUUCCUGUUACCCCAGUGGGCACAGGUUCAUGAGGAAAAUUAGAACAGAUGCAGAGUCAACAUCUGUGCCCAUCUGGGGGCAGUGUGAGUGGUUUUGUGAACAUGCUGUAGUUGAAUUCUGACUUUUGAGAGGUUGAUUACUCAUUUCUUUCAGUAGACAGAAAUCAUAGUAUUUGUUUGCUGGAGCAUGAGCUGCUUUAUUUCUAUUUUCAGAGUUUCACUUUGGGUCCACAGUGGGGCCUAUAACCAAUGCUGGAGGUUCUCAGCCAAAGAGAGUGCAGCGGCGCAUGGCUGUCCUGCAGAUGGUGACAGGUGGGGACUCUGCCCCUUCACUCUUGGAGGUCAGGCAGGGCUAAAUGGCUGCAGUCCCCUAAGCAGUCAGUCCUUUUUUUAAAAAGUAAGAACAAUGGCCUGUAUUUGUUAAACUUUUUUUUUUUUUUUUUUUGGUAACACAAGAAAGGAUCAUUGUGAUGCUGAGCCUCCAGUGCCACCAGACUCAGGGUUCCGGGUAGGCAGGGUCACAGCUGGGCACCCCGUUGUGCUGCUCCAGGACUGGCCCCGUGUCCUGGCCUUGGGGUUGAGUCUCGGGGUUGGCUGCAUGCGUUGGUGUGAUUUCAGGGCAUACACACGGAACGUGCUGCCCAGGUGCUGGGCCCAGGGAAGCCACGUGUCUCAGCCCUGAAGAGUUGUCCUGGCGUUGUGCACAACCUGGCUGGUGGCUUGGAGAGCAAACAGUACCCCCGACCCCACGGGUGUCUGCGGGCACUAGGCCCCACGUGCGGGUUCUCUGGAGUCUCCCAAGCUGAGCAUCACCGGACCCAGACCCGUCACAGCCAUGCUGAGCUUACCCGUCUGCAAGUCUGCUGGAACCUGGAACACAGCAGCCCUCCUGCCCAGCCACCCCAUUCCUGAGCUUCCUCUCCAUGCAAGAGUCCACUUGUAAAACAAACAACGGGCUGGGAGUUGUGUCUCCCCUUCACCACCAGUGCUUCUGUGUACAGCUCAUCCACUUCCUCAUCCGUAAACUGAUCCCCCACGGUUGUCAGCAGCUCUCUCAG
rnacentral:lncRNA from 1 species